GUGACCUCAAAUCAGGUAGGACUACCCGCUGAACUUAAGCAUAUCAAUAAGCGGAGGAAAAGAAACUAACAAGGAUUCCCCUAGUAACUGCGAGUGAAGCGGGAAAAGCUCAAAUUUAAAAUCUGGCAGUCUUUGGCUGUCCGAGUUGUAAUCUAGAGAAGUGUUAUCCGCGCUGGACCGUGUACAAGUCUCCUGGAAUGGAGCGUCAUAGAGGGUGAGAAUCCCGUCUUUGACACGGACUGCCAGGGCUUUGUGAUGCGCUCUCAAAGAGUCGAGUUGUUUGGGAAUGCAGCUCAAAAUGGGUGGUAAAUUCCAUCUAAAGCUAAAUAUUGGCGAGAGACCGAUAGCGAACAAGUACCGUGAGGGAAAGAUGAAAAGAACUUUGGAAAGAGAGUUAAACAGUACGUGAAAUUGCUGAAAGGGAAACGCUUGAAGUCAGUCGCGUUGGCCAGGGAUCAACCUUGCUUUUGCUUGGUGUACUUUCUGGUUGACGGGUCAACAUCAAUUUUGACUAUUGGAAAAAGAUUAAGGGAAUGUGGCAUCUUCGGAUGUGUUAUAGCCCUUGGUUGCAUACAAUGGUUGGGAUUGAGGAACUCAGCACGCCGCAAGGCCGGGUUUUUAACCACGUACGUGCUUAGGAUGUUGGCAUAAUGGCUUUAAUCGACCCGUCUUGAAACACGGACCAAGGAGUCUAACAUACCUGCGAGUGUUUGGGUGGAAAACCCGAGCGCGUAAUGAAAGUGAAAGUUGAGAUCCCUGUCGUGGGGAGCAUCGACGCCCGGACCAGACCUUUUGUGACGGUUCCGCGGUAGAGCAUGUAUGUUGGGACCCGAAAGAUGGUGAACUAUGCCUGAAUAGGGUGAAGCCAGAGGAAACUCUGGUGGAGGCUCGUAGCGAUUCUGACGUGCAAAUCGAUCGUCAAAUUUGGGUAUAGGGGCGAAAGACUAAUCGAACCAUCUAGUAGCUGGUUCCUGCCGA
rnacentral:rRNA from 2 species